GCAGCCGCGGUAAUACGUAGGGGGCAAGCGUUAUCCGGAUUUACUGGGUGUAAAGGGAGCGUAGACGGUGAAGCAAGUCUGAAGUGAAAUACCCGGGCUCAACCUGGGAACUGCUUUGGAAACUGUUUUACUAGAGUGCUGGAGAGGCAAGCGGAAUUCCUAGUGUAGCGGUGAAAUGCGUAGAUAUUAGGAGGAACACCAGUGGCGAAGGCGGCUUGCUGGACAGUAACUGACGUUGAGGCUCGAAAGCGUGGGGAGCAAACAGGAUUAGAUACCCC
rnacentral:rRNA from 1 species